rnacentral:rRNA from 1 species
GGGCCCGCACAAGCGGUGGAGCAUGUGGUUUAAUUCGAUGAUACGCGAGGAACCUUACCAGGGCUUAAAUGUAAGUUGCAUGGAUCAGAGAUGGUCCUUUCUUCGGACUACUUACAAGGUGCUGCAUGGUUGUCGUCAGCUCGUGCCGUGAGGUGUCAGGUUAAGUCCUAUAACGAGCGCAACCCCUAUCGUUAGUUGCCAACAGGUUAAGCUGGGAACUCUAACGAGACUGCCGGUGCAAACCGCGAGGAAGGCGGGGACGACGUCAAGUCAUCACGGCCCUUACGUCCUGGGCCACACACGUGCUACAAUGGUUGGUACAGAGGGCAGCUACCGGGUGACCGGAUGCAAAUCUCUAAAGCCAAUCUCAGUUCGGAUUGUUGUCUGCAACUCGACAACAUGAAGUCGGAAUCGCUAGUAAUCGC